rnacentral:misc_RNA from 1 species
AAGUCGUAACAAGGUUUCCGUAGGUGAACCUGCGGAAGGAUCAUUAUUACGUUAUCCAACGUCAAACCCAAUUGUGAAAUGUUUAAAAAUCAGGGAUGAAGUGAGAAUAUUUGCGACAAAGAGUUUGUGACUUUUAUGGUGGUCUUUGUCGGUCCUAGUGACGCAAGUUACUAGCUCACUUUGUUUCUGUUAACUCCCAAUUCCCGUCAUAAACAAUUGCUAUUUUAAAUUUUAACCCCAAGUACAAAAUUGAACUAAAUUUUUUGGAUGUUUUUCUUCAGUGAAAAGCAUCUCAAAACAAACCGAAAUUAAGAAAACAACUCUUAACAACGGAUAUCUUGGUUCUC